CAGAGAAUAGUUUAAGUAAAAUAUUAAUUUUGGAGAUUAAUGAUAGAUAAAGAGUCUUUCUCUGA
rnacentral:tRNA from 2 species